GAUGAACGCUGGCGGCGUGCCUAAUACAUGCAAGUCGAGCGAACAGAUGAGGAGCUUGCUCCUCUGACGUUAGCGGCGGACGGGUGAGUAACACGUGGAUAACCUACUUAUAAGACUGGGAUAACUUCGGGAAACCGGAGCUAAUACCGGAUAAUAUAUUGAACCACAUGGUUCAAUAGUGAAAUACGGUUUUGCUGUCACUUAUAGAUGGAUCCGCGCCGCAUUAGCUAGUUGGUAAGGUAACGGCUUACCAAGGCAACGAUGCGUAGACGACCUGAGAGGGUGAUAGGCCACACUGGAACUGAGACACGGUCCAGACUCCUACGGGAGGCAGCAGUAGGGAAUCUUCCGCAAUGGGCGAAAGCCUGACGGAGCAACGCCGCGUGAGUGAUGAAGGUCUUCGGAUCGUAAAACUCUGUUAUUAGGGAAGAACAAAUGUGUAAGUAACUAUGCACGUCUUGACGGUACCUAAUCAGAAAGCCACGGCUAACUACGUG
rnacentral:rRNA from 1 species